AGUGAACGCUGGCGGUAGGCCUAACACAUGCAAGUCGAACGGCAGCACAGUAAGAGCUUGCUCUUACGGGUGGCGAGUGGCGGACGGGUGAGGAAUACAUCGGAAUCUACUUUUUCGUGGGGGAUAACGUAGGGAAACUUACGCUAAUACCGCAUACGACCUACGGUUGAAAGCAUGGGAUCUUCGGACCUUGCGCGAUUGAAUGAGCCGAUGUCGGAUUAGCUAGUUGGCGGGGUAAAGGCCCACCCAGGCGACGAUCCGUAGCUGGUCUGAGAGGAUGAUCAGCCACACUGGAACUGAGACACGGUCCAGACGCCUAAGGGAGGCAGCAGUGGGGAAUAUGGGACAAUGGGCGCAAGCCUGAUCCAGCCAGACCGCGUGGGUGAAGAAGGCCUUCGGGUUGUAAAGCCCUUUUGUUGGGAAAGAAAAGCAGCAGGUUAAUACCCCGCUGUUCUGACGGUACCCAAAGAAUAAGCACCGGCUAACUUCGUG
rnacentral:rRNA from 1 species